UUGGCACUGAACAUUGAACCUACAUGUGUAGGAUAGGUGGGAGACUAUGAAAUUGCGUCGCUAGAUGUGAUGGAGUCGUCCUUGAAAUACCACCCUUGUAGUUUUGAUGUUCUAACGUUGGUCCCUGAAUCGGGAUUACGGACAGUGCCUGGUGGGUAGUUUGACUGGGGCGGUCUCCUCCCAAAGAGUAACGGAGGAGCACGAAGGUGGGCUAAACACGGUUGGACAUCGUGUGGUUAGUGCAAUGGCAUACGCCCGCUUGACUGCGAGACUGACAAUUCGAGCAGGUGCGAAAGCAUUGCAUAGUGAUCCGUGGGUGCUGAAGUGAAGGGCCAUGGCUCAACGGAUAAACGUGCGGCAGGGGAGCUCAGGCUGCGCGCGCACAAGAGGUGCGAUCGACGGCGGUGUGUGGCACCUCGAUGUCGGCUCCUCACAUCCUGGGGCUGACGUCGGUCCCAAGGGUGUGGCUGUUCGCCCUUUACAGUGGUACGGUCUGUGGGUGUCCGACGUCGGUCUCGAGUUGUGUCCCU
rnacentral:rRNA from 1 species